ensembl:lncRNA
ACGGAACAUUCUUUCUGUUCCCCCCCCCCCCCCCCCCCCCCAAUAAAGUGUUUACUACACAGUCCUGCAGCACACUCUCACACACACACACACACUCACACACACACAAAUGACAGAGCCCUUUAUAAAGAAGAAAUCAGGCUGGCGCUGCAAAAGCGCGGAGAAGAUCUUUCACUGAAAUGAUCUCAAGCAAACUGCAUGAAGAUGGUACAGACAGAUGCCAAAAAAGAGGGCCCCCAUCAGCCCCGUGUGCCCCGCUGUGAACCACCAACACGCCAGGGUGCUGCUGAAAAACAAAUGGAAGCUGGCAGCAGCUGAAGGCCUGUGGUGGUUGACCAAUCUGCUCUGAGCUGUUCCAGGAGCCUCCAGAGGACAAGAGGAAUGUGACAGUGCUCCUUCUGUUCUGGCUGUGAGAAACUGAAAGCACCGAAGUGAGUUUGCUUGGUGAGCAGCGGAGUCACCUCCUGGUCCUGAUAGGGUACAGACUAGAGAUCUUCAAUGCAGCCUGAGCAUCUCAUGUAAUGUCAAGACCUUAAGAGCAGAGGAAGGCACAUCAGAGUAUCAUGACAGAAAAAAAUGGAUGAGAAGAACCUUAAAACUGUGCCUGUAGAUCUGAUCAAUGGAUCUCUGUGAAGUCCUUGGAUUGACUCUGCUCUUGGUCUGCAGGAACUUAUUACAGGCAUGGAACUUCUUCGAUUGGUCUCCCCCCUGCUUGAGGAGGCUAGAAUGCUUUAUUUAUUUGAUGUCAUAUUUGGUUAUACAUGAAAAUAUUUCACUAUUUAUUUUUAUAGUUUUGCAACAAUAUGUUAUGGAGAAAGCAUUUCCCAUUUUCCAACAAACUCUCAGUCAGGGUUUAGUUAUCUGUUUAUUAUUAGUGAAUGUGUCCCAGAGUUUUGCUGAUAUGUUUGUUAUCAGUGCAUCAAAGCUUGAGUGAUAAAAUAAACUAAUGUGGUCACCAGUUGUGCUAUUUGAACAAGUUCUGGAGUAGCAGAUGCAAAGCCGAAGAAGAUAUCUUAUCCCAGCUUUCACCUUUUGACUGGCUGGAAGAGACCAGCAGGCAGCUAAUUGUCUUUGAUGAAGAUCACGCCCCGAAAACCUGGGCCUCCAAAUAGGCGCAAAGCAAGGAUCUGGCUGUGAGGAAGUGGGCACAGUUAAAACUAGGGCUGCUUUGUCCUUCACCAGCACGGAAGAUGGCAUGCAUUGCUGCCUCUCUUGACUUUGCUUUCUCUCCUCCUCUUGUUAACUUUUCCACGAGCUGGAGUCAUAAGUAGCUGUAAGGGUGUCAGCCACUAAACCAGCAUUAGAUUGCAAAGAGAAAAAGGAAAAAAAAAAAACAUUAUAAAAGUUGUCUUAUAUGAAGAUGGAAGAACUUCGGCUAUUUGGGAGGAUGACUUGCCUUAAGUGACCAUACACUGUUGCCAGCAUGAUGCGUGCUUUGUCAGUUCAGCAACGGGCUAGCGCUGGCAAUACAAACAUAGCAGGAGUGAGUGUUGGAAUGCCCUGAAGUUCAUUAGUGUGUGAUCUCAUUAAAUUACUGUCCAAAGAAAAGGUGACAUUUACUGCCUGGCUUCUCUGAGCUGAAAGAUGGGAUCCUUAAAUCUGGCAGGCUUUGUCCUGAAUUUAACUUGCAGAUUUCAACAAAAGAAAGUAACAGUUAUAUUACCUACCAGAAAGUCUGAUUAAGUAACUGCACUCUCUGUGCUGGGCAAGGAAUGGUUUGGGUGGCAGUAUGUUGGUCAGAUGUGAGGCUCUCCAAGAAUGACAUUUGUAAGACCAGUAGUGGACUUCAACUAUUCUCUAUUGGAACAGGAUGCCCAGAGAGGUUGUGGAUCCCUAGAGAUGUUCAGGGCCAGGCUGGACGUGGCUCUGGGCAACCUGGGCUGGUGGUCUGGUCAGGUCAGCAACCCUGCACAUAGCAAGGGGGGGGGAGGGGGUGUUGAAACUAGAUGAUUUUUGAGAUCCUUUUCAACCCAGACCAUUCUAUGAUACUGUAAGGAGGGAGACACUUCCCUCCUCAUCUUCACGUGUUAAAAUCCAAAGGCUGCUUUUGCCUUCUAUGUGUCAGUAUGAGCCAAGGACAGAAGAGGAAUGACGAGCACACUGUGGAAAGUUUUUGAAACCUCCCUCUUCCAAGAAGUUGGUAAAAAUGCUGAGCUGAAAGACUCAAAGCAACUCACUUGAGACUCAUUUUCAGUACGGUUAAAGUUCUGAAACCCAGACUGUGAAAUCUCAGGAAGCAGCUGGGUUCCUAAUUAAAACAAAUCGUUAAUAGAUUUAGCAGGCCAAAUUUAUGCUUUUCAAUUAAAAACACUAUUGGGAUCAUUAUUUGCUCUUGUACGUGUGUGCAAUUGUAUGGUGGUGGUAAGUGUACACUGGUGGUGUAAUGCACCAAAGUUUUAGGACAGACUACUUGGCCAUGGCACGUGCUAAUGGAUUUGGAGCAUCUCAGUAAGUAGAACACAACUUGGAAGCAGGAGAGAGUGAGUCAAGACAAAUACAGUGUCAAGGACACUUCAUGCACUCUUUCCCUGGCCACAGUUUAUUCUGCAUGAGGCCGGUCAGGCAUUUUGCUCACAGUAAGUUGCUCUCAUGUGAAAGCUACAAAUGUUUUACAGCCCACGUGAUGGGCCUGAGCUAUUUAUUGACCACGACUAACCAGGAAGAAUUUGUCCUCCAAUUAGCCCUGUUGUUUUUUGUUGUUUUGGUUCACUUCACUGUGGUGGCUCUUACACAGACUGAGGCAAAACCAGUUUUGUUGUUGUUAAUUAAUUUAUUUUUAUACCAUGACAAUAAUUCUCAUUACACCCAAUUUGAUGAACUGAUUUUACUUCCAUCUUUAUUUGCGGUGAGACAAAGAGUACAUCUGUAUGUUUUUGUCCCCAGAAAGAAAGGCAAAAGCCAUGUAUU